AACUCCUAGUUGAGUGUGAAGACCUGAGGUAUCAGGGGUAGGGGUUGCUCUGCUUGUGUAAGUCCCAUAGUGUGAAGGCCAGAGAACCAAGAGAUGGUCAAGAAGAGAGAGUAAGUGUCCAAUGUCCCAGCUCAAGAAGAGAGAAUGGUGAAUUGCACUCUGAAGAGCUUCCUAAGCUUGUAAGAAAGUGAUUCUGAAAAGCUCAACAUUUUGGUAGAAUGGAGAGAUUUGACAUUGCUUCUGCUCCAAAAGCAAAAGACUUGGGAAGGGCACCCUGGGAGUUGAGAACAUCCACCACAGAGAGGCCUGGCGUAAAGGAGAUGGGACUCACACCCAAGAGGAUGCAUUUCCAUACACCCAUUUCUGAAAUAUGAAGAGGUGUCCAGUCUGUUUGAUUCAUAGCUGCCUGUUCCACAACUGCAGAUACAAAAACUCGGAUCUUUUACCCAGAGCCUCUGAUCCCACGAGGAUCAAUAAUUUAAGCAGAACAAUCAUCAACAUCGUCGUGUUUAAUAUUUGAAUUCCAUAGCAUCACUUAGGUCAGCUUCAAGGUCCUAGGGAACCGCUGCCUGCGGCCAGAUCCAGGCUGGAGAGGCAGCGGCUGCCAAGCUGACCUCGCUGCCCGCCUCGCAGGAGACGACUGCCCGGAGGCCUCAGCUGCACAUGCUGCUGAGUGUGAAGUCAGCGCGGUGCAACCCUAGACCUCGGCACAGGCGUGAAUACCCACCGACUCCCACUGUGGGGAUUAGGGAUGUGUGAGCAGAGUCUUAGCGACUAGCUUCUCCUCCUCCCCAUAUCAACACCCUUCAAUGCUGACUUCUCAAAGUAUGGUGCUAGGGCGUCACCUGGAAGCUUGUUACGCCUCUCCCCAGAACUACUGUGUCCGAAACUGCAUUUAAACCAGAUCCUCGGGGGAUUUAGAGCUGGUUAACAAAAUGACCAGAGGAUUAAAGUUUGGAAAUCUCCAAUUUCGACUAUAUUGAUUACAUUGCC
ensembl:lncRNA LINC01584 long intergenic non-protein coding RNA 1584